AAGGAAGAAAUUCUUUGUCCACUUCUCCUACAAUUAUUUUUUAAUUUUUUUUAUAGAGAUAGGAUCUUGCUAUGUUGCCCAGGCUGGUCUCGAACUCCUGGCCUCAAGCAAUCCUCCUGCCUCAGCCUACCAAAGUGCUGGGAUUACAGGUGUGAGCCACCACACCCAGCCCUUAAAAUUAUUAAGACUUCACAUAUACUAUCUAUUUGAGGAGUCUUUUACAGCCUCCUUGUUACCACACAUUUGAGUAUGCUUAGUCAUUAUGUGAAUAUUCAACAAACUGGUCCAUCUUUCUGAUUUAAAUAUUUGUACACCUAAGGAUGUAUUUCAUAAAGUAAUUCAUAACCAGUUUGGUUCUAGAUUUACUGUAAUUGGCUAUCUGCCAGAAUAAACUAUAAAAUGAGAAUAAAAGCUUUUGGUGUCAAAAUUUUUUUUCAUUAAAUUUUGUUUUGAUUAUCCAGUCUAAAUUGUCAUCUGUAUAGAUUUCAUCAGAUACUUUUUUUUACUUUUUAAAUGUCAAUCUUAUUGAUCAAGAAAGGUAAAAAAGAGGGAGGCUCAUUUUCUAUUCUGAUUUGUUUAAAAUGCCAGAUCACAUAAAUUUAGAUAGGGCCCUUAUUUUCUACGAGAGCAGUGGAGCUGGGUGAUGACCAAGGACUACAUAUAAUGCAGCAAGCACGCUGUACAGUCCUUACACUAUCUAAAUGCACCUACUCAACCAAAGCAGAUAGGCACUGUGGAACGAGAAGGGUGCAGCCAACACUAAUGCUAAAGACAGGCUAACUUGGAAAUUCUUGCAUUGAAACUGCAAAGGAAUUUCCAAAUACACUAAAAAUUCUCUUUUAGAGUAUCUGCUAGCCAUCAUCAGUAAAAGGAAAAUAAUACCUUGAUUUUAAUGAGGUUUUAUUGUUUGGUUGGUUUUCGGGUGGUUAUUUGGGGUAUUUUAUUUGUUUGGUUGGUUUGUUGAGGGGUUUUUUUGCUUAUUUAUUUUAUGAAAACUUUAGUAUAACACACUACUUAGUUUGGACUUGAAAUCAACUUAUUAUGAUGCUUAAAAAAAUCCAUGUUCUAAAUCAUAAUUGCAUGACAGUUUAGAUCUUAUUACUAUUUAGUUGUAGCCUAACAAAUACUGUAUUCCUCUGUUUUCUCAAAAAAAAAAGUUCCUAGUUUAUGAAAUAGUAUUCAGAUAAAGCCUUAUGCUGCCCACCAGCCCACUAAAUGUAUUAAAUACCUGUCUCUAUGUAGCUUAUGUAAAAACUCAAUGUUGACUGUCCCAUGUCUGCUGCAUUUAAAAGCUCAUUGUGAUUCUAUCAUCUUGCUAUGCCAAUGCCUUAUGUUAUGGUGUCGUGUAUAUAGGCCAUGGUACAAAAGUGACUGUCAACUGCUUACUCAACAUCUAGUCAGAAAAGGUCUGAGGCAGUGCAAUAACGCUUUUAGUCAAACUGGCUCACUGUUGGAAUCAUUUACAUCUGUGUAUUCUUUACCGUAAAUACUGAAAUAGUAUUUUUUAACUGUUUUUUCAGGCUUGUAAUAAAUAUCUGUGUCAUAUCUACAUAGUCAAAAUACAUUGAGUAAUUCAGUUUAAAAGUGUUGCCUACUAACAAACUAAAGAGAAACAUCUACUGAUUUUCCCAUAUAAUUGCUUAUUUUCCAUUGCCAAUGUAGACCUGCCUGGAAUGGUGUCUUUCACCACUAUCAUGUGUAAAAUAAAGGGAGGCUAUUGUGGUGAAUUUUCACCUGUCUGACAUUAGCUCUUUCACUAGUCAAAGAUUGUACAUACCUCAGAGGUGACCUGACUACCGAGGUCCAGUUUUCAAAAGUGCAUCUUAUUUUAAUUUUUGUCUCCAAAAAUUAAAAUUGGAUGUCUACAAAACUAACAUAUGUAGACUUUCAAAGGCCAGCAUUGGUGGGGAAGGGAAAAGAAAGGAUGGAAGGAUGGAAGGAACGAAGGGUGAUGAGGAGAUGAAGGGAGAGGGAGGGGAAAGAAAAGAACAGAAAAAAGCUAAUAGAGGAAGGUAAAUCUCUAAAUGAGUUAAAUAAGGCUUAAAUAAAGUUUGCAUGGUAUAUUCUCUAAAAGUUGAUUGGCGUGGAGGAGGCUGUAUGUGUUUGUGUGUGUAUGCACAUGGGCAUGUCUAUGUGUAAGGUCAGAAGGGGGAGCCUGAAUUAUCUACUGCUUUUUUGGUUAACUAGUCCUAUUUUUAAAACUUUGUCUAACUCCCAAAACUUAUUAAUGCGACAUGUAGUACUGAAAUUAGAAGAUUAUUGUUAAACUCAGGACAGCUCUGUGGAGAUUCACAAAGUAAUUUCAUGAAAACUUAUGAGGAAGUUGUUCAGUACUGUCACUAAUUAACGCGCACAAAAAAAAAACUUGUUGUGAGUAAUUAUGGGUGAUUUCGCUGCAAAACAAAUUAGUAUACGAAUUAUUAUUUUUUCUCAAAUUGUAGAGGUUUUGUUUCUAUUAAGUCUCUAACAUUUCCCAGAUUAAAAAUACCAAAACUAUUUUUUAAACUUAAGGAAUAGAGUAUCAGAAAUUAACCAUUAAAUUAAUAGUUCUUAAAGUUGCUAUGUAUAUGGUAAGUAAAACAAUUUCCUAUUUCUAAGUUAUACAUGGUAUUAGAUUUCUAGGUACAGUCGCAUGAAGCAUUAUUGACUUUUAUUAACUUCAGUGUUUUAGAGGGUUUUCAUACUAGUCUAUGAAUGCUCUGAAUGCUGCAGGGAAAAAGAAGCACAAUCAGUAUUUCAUUAUUUAUGAAUUCUCAAUUGAAUUAUCCUAUCCUGUCCACACACAUAAUAGCAUUAGCAUUUCUUCUUAUACCAUGUUGAAAUACUUUUAAUACAAACUCUCAAUAGAAGCUUAAACAUAAGUGGUUAAGUCUUGUUGUCUAGUCUCAUUCACCUGCCUCAACAUGCUUUCUUUCAUUCUAUUUGCAUACAAAAUGUUCUUAUUUCAGUUUUGUAGACAGGAUAUGAGUUAGCAUACUCGUGUUUGUUCAGCUGUCCAUCCUGCAUCGUUACUACAAUGCCUUUUUCUGCCAUUUAAUGGUGUUUGUAUCAAUGUUCCCAUAUCUGCUGCAUUUUAACUCCAUAAAAAGGAAAUGUGAUUUCGUAUUAAUAGUUUUGUUGAUCAACUCAAUAUUUCUGCACCAAUCAGCAUACCUAUAUGCAUGUAGUAGUCUGUACAAUUGUUCAACAUCAAAAUACUUGUUUACUUUAUGUCAAAAUGUCUAUAAAAUUGCUGGCAUUGUUCUCCAUUUCAGUCUGGUAGAAUAAGCGAGAUAGAAAAUAAAUGUGUAAAUGAA
ensembl:lncRNA novel transcript